AUUUCGUCAAUCGGCUCAGUAGAACAACGAGUUAAUCUUUCGACUUUUACUAAAGAUUACCGUGGAGAGGAUUCCUUUACUGAAUUAUUUGAAAUUUUACUUAUGAGGAAUAAUUACGUAG